UACAGAGGUCUCAAGCGUUGUUCGGAUUCAUUGGGCGUAAAGGGUGCGUAGGCGGCGCGGUAAGUCGGGUGUGAAAUCUUGGAGCUUAACUCCGAAACUGCAUUCGAUACUGCCGUGCUUGAGGACUGGAGAGGAGACUGGAAUUUACGGUGUAGCGGUGAAAUGCGUAGAUAUCGUAAGGAAGACCAGUGGCGAAGGCGGGUCUCUGGACAGUUCCUGACACUGAGACACGAAGGCUAGGGGAGCAAACGGG
rnacentral:rRNA from 1 species